rnacentral:rRNA from 1 species
AACGAACGCUGGCGGCAUGCCUAACACAUGCAAGUCGAACGAGACCUUCGGGUCUAGUGGCGCACGGGUGCGUAACGCGUGGGAACCUGCCCUUAGGUUCGGAAUAACUCCCCGAAAGGGGUGCUAAUACCGGAUAAUGUCUUCGGACCAAAGAUUUAUCGCCUUUGGAUGGGCCCGCGUUGGAUUAGCUAGUAGGUAGGGUAAAAGCCUACCAAGGCGACGAUCCAUAGCUGGUCUGAGAGGAUGAUCAGCCACACUGGGACUGAGACACGGCCCAGACUCCUACGGGAGGCAGCAGUGGGGAAUAUUAGACAAUGGGCGAAAGCCUGAUCCAGCAAUGCCGCGUGAGUGAUGAAGGCCUUAGGGUUGUAAAGCUCUUUUACCCGGGAUGAUAAUGACAGUACCGGGAGAAUAAGCUCCGGCUAACUCCGUG